ACCACCCUAAAUUUGUCCACAACUGAUGUUUACGACAUGGUUAUCUAUUUCACACAUUCUUAUUCUAUGUAUAUUGUGAUCAUAUUUUCAUUUCCUUAGUUGUGUUACUGUUCAAUUGACUGUUAAGUUUACGGUUAUUUCCCCUGUAAAAAAAGGUUAUGGUCUUUUAUUCCAACAGAGAAAAGCAUGUUUCUUUGUAGGAGACUAACUGCUAUAUAGACUUGCAUAUUUUGUAAUGUUUCUUUUACAAACAUACGAUGUUAUAGACUGUAGACACGGGCCUAGACAUCUAGCCAAACCUACCUAUAGCAUUUGUAAAACGAUAUAAUUAUAACAGUUACAUGUAAAUUACGUGUGUAGAUUUAUCCCUUUUUUUUCAUACGCCUUAGUAGAUUCUAAAAAUAUGGUGUGAUGUAUAAAGUUUAUGGUCAUCAUUAGUUUAGUGUUUGGGUCAAAUUAUUAUUUGAAAGUAGGGGUUAAAGUUUGCCAAGAAAAAAAACAGAUUAUUAUUUGAGAUUGAUAGAGUACGACUAUAUCCCACCCGGUCUUGUUUCCAUCAAAAGUGUGUCCCCACUUUGUUGAAGAAUACACCUACCAUUUUGGUAGUGUGACUAACUCAUCUCAGCGGUUUUGUUUGGGCCUCACUCCCCUAAUAUGCUAGCAAUUGUCUCAUUUCCCAUAUUUCCCUUAGUCUCACUCCCAAUCACUUCACGAUCCAAGGAAGGGAAUGCCAGCAGCCAUGGCGACAGUGUCCCCUUCGGCCAUUCAUGCCACUUGAGAGGAUGAAGGCUCUGGUGACGUCACGCGAGAGACAUCGGCGCAAGUGAGGUUGCCACCAUCCUUGUUGCAACGACAAUGCCACAACGGAGGGUAGAACGGGGUGGUGGGUGACGGCAUUACGGAAGGAGGUGCCGACCACUCAUUUGACCCAGGGAAGGAAAAAUAAUGUGCAAUGUUUUAGUCCCGUACUGCUACUAAAUAUAAGGAUCUCGGUCGAGAGAAUCUAGAGUAUGGUGUGUGGUCUAGAAAAGGAGCAAGAGUGCACUCGAGCAUGUUUAGGGGGAGGUAUGUUCGGGGCGGAGGCCACAGGGGGAGCUAUGCCCGGCUGGAUGACCAUAAAGGGCGAGGGAGAAUUCCUUCUUUUAAGUAUAAAAGUAUACUCCCUUUGUUCACUAUUAUGAGAUGCUUUGGAUAUUUUAAUAUGAACUACGUACAGAAAUGAGUGAACAAAACACACUAAAACGUGUCUAUGUACACCCCAUUCAGAAAAAAAGUUAGAACAUCUUAUAAUCGUUAAUGGAGGGAGUACUAGAGAAUAAAAUCCUUCCCUAGCUAAUGGUGGAUCAACAACACUGAGUAUGAAGAGAUAGAGGAAUUAUUUGAUCUGCACACUGGAGCAUACGAAGGAAGCAUCGACACCAAUAUGCUUGGUGAGCUAUGUUGCAUAAGAUCAUGCACAAUACUGAUAGCACAUGUACUCUCCUACAACAGAGUAUGUGAGUGACAACACCAGUACUCUACAACAGAGGAGUAGGUGUAGUGAUAGAAACAAAAAAAAAUCCUUAAGCUACCAUCAUAUGCCUUUGUUGUCAAAAGAGCCAUAGUUUGCAACUCAGCCUUUGCACUAGAAGGGAAAAGCGUAAUCGGUCUCUUUGUCUUCUAGGCAAUGAGAAAACCAUCAAGAAAACACAGGAGUAGAAAGGGACGUGCGAACUUGAGCAUAGGAAGAGGUGAGACGGUGAGAGAUAUUUCCACGAAGAUAUCGUAGAACAUGGGGGUGACUCAAGUGGAUAAAAGUGAGAGCAGAGACAAAGUGACUUAGAAUGAGAACGUGAUAUGAAAUGUCUGGACGAGUGACAUCUGAAUAGACAAGACUCCCAACAAGAUGAUGAUAGUGUGUCAGAUCAAACAAAGGUGGAUGUUGAGCUCCAUGGGAGUGUCAUGCACUUGAGAGGAUGAAGGCUCUAGCAACAUCAUGCGAGAGGCAUCGGUGCUAGCGAGUUUGCCACCAUCCUAGCCAUGACGACAAUGCCGCAGAGCAUAUAGUGGAGGGUAGAGUAGGAGAGUGGAGCGACGACGCCACAUGAGGAGGUGCACUCGAACGGGGGGCACUGCACUGCAGUAUGUUUCUUCUUUCGGGCGAGUGCCAGAUAGAUAGACAAGGCUCACAACAAAAUGUCGAUAAAGCGCCAGAUCAGACAGUAGGUCAACAUCAGUAGCAGGGAGGUGAACAUUGAGCUCCAUGGGAGUCUCAACAUGCGCUCAUUAGUAAGAGCAGCGCGAGUAAGAAGAUCCUAAAUUAUUAUUUUAGCAUUAAGGGACCUCAAUCCCAAGAAAGUAGCAGAGAGGGCCAAGAUAAAACAUAAGAAACUGCAUACUAAGACAUGCCUUAACAAAGGCAAUAUACUCACGGUCUGCGUUAGUGAUGAUCAUGUCAUCAACAUAUAGAAGAAGAGUCCUACCAAGAACAGAAAGGAGGACAAACAAUGUCGGAUCAUGAGCACUCGAUGAAAACCAGCAGUAGCCACCAUAGAGGCAAAACGCUCAAACCAGGUGUGAGGGGCUUGCUUAGAGCCAUAGUGAGAGUGAUGAAAAUGAGAAAGCAUGUCGUAAGGAGCAGCUCACCAUUAAGAAAUGCAUUCUUAAUAUCAAGCCUAGACACAGAUCAGCGGCGAACCGAGGCCACAAUGAGAAGUGUGCGAACAGUGGUGAGCAAAAGUCUCAUCGUAAUCAGGACCAUGCUCCCGCUGAAAGCCAUUACCCACAACACGAGCUUUGUAACGCCCAAGAGAACCAUCAGAGUGAGUCCUAACCUUGUAGACCCACCAAGUGAUGGGACAAACACGAGGAACAUAUACAAUAUCCCACGUGCCGAUGCGCUCAAGAGCAGCAGUCUCCUCUGCCAUCAGAAGUUGCCAUUUGGUAUGAACAACAUCACAAUAAGAAGUUGGCUCAAGAACAAUAGCGCCAACGCUUGAAGACCUAGGUGGUUAACAGGCCAAAGCGGGCGAGGACGCAAGCCAUCCACAACACGUAGAUGUCCUGUAUAGAAAUUAGGAAAAGAUGGAAGAAUACGAGUUGGAAUCAUCGGGAUAAACUCAGGUGAUGUAGAUAAGGAAGCCACCAGUGAUGAAGGUGUAGAAUCAUGUGAUAAAUGAGGUGAGGAAAUUAUAGGAGAUGAUGGCAUUGGUAUCACAAUAAUCAGAGAAGCAGGAGCAGUACGACGACUGGAUAAGGGCUCAAUAGGAGUGGUAGGAGUGUCGGGAAAAUUGUGGAAAGAGAUAUACUCCACUUAAAAGGCCGAAGAAGAUGGACUCAACAAAAAUCAUAUCCCGAGAAAUAGCCAUCCGACGACCAACAUGAUCCCAACAAUGAUAUCCCUUAUGCUCAUCGUUGUAUCCUAAGAAGACACACUCAACAGACUGACAAGUCAGUUUGGUGCGUUCGCGAGGGGCAAGAAGGACAUAGUAAACACAACCAAACAAUUGAAGCGCCAAAUAAACGAUCAAAUAGACGCUCGAAAGGAGCGUCACUCUGCAGAGCAGUGGAUUGCUAAAGGUUGAUGAGAUAGAUGGAAGUGGAGACAAUCUCGACCCAAAAGUGCGACGGAAGAGAUGCGGUGAGCAUAACGGACGAGUCGUCUCAAGAAGGCGACGAUGCUUGAGCUCAGCCAUGCCAUUUUGAGCAUGAGCAUCAGGAUAAGAGAACCGAAGUCUGCUCAAAAAGGAUUCCACCAGUCAUCAUAGAACACACGAAUAGGUGUAGAGAAUUGAGUGUGAACCAUGGCAGCAAAAGGCUUAUAAGACCUCAGUACAAGAAGAAAUAAAGUAUAUCCAGGUGUGUCAAGAGAAGUUACUACCGGAGGCAAAGGGAGAUGGACCCCUGAGAUCAUAUUGAACAAGGUCGGAAGGACGACGAGACACUGUCUCGCUAUGAGUAUAAGGUAAUUGGACAGUGGAUUAGAGACAUCAUCGGAGACGGAUCCAAGAAGACCAAGUCGAACUAAGGAUGAGAGAUAACAAGUGAUCCAAGGGGAUGAUGCCAAUCCUGAAAAUAACUGGUAGACAAGGCAACAGAGGUAGAGACUGGCGAUGGUGGCAGCAGAGGGACUUGAUCCAGCAUCCCACGUGCCUAUGCACUCUUUGUACCCCACCGAUCCAGCUUGGCGUUCUUUUCCCGUUUGCGGGUUGUGGGUCACGCACUUGAUUAAGCACCCCAGGUUCUCCUACUGCGCCCUUGGCCUCGACUUUAGGUAGCGCCUGUCCUCGGCUCGUCCCGUGCAUAAACCAGGUACGCGUCGACUGUCCGAGCUCCUGCUCACCAUUGGUGGUGCUCGAGCGUGCGGUUAUGGUGUCGCACAUAAAGGGAACACGGGAUGUGGGAUUGAGACAGUACUCAUAGCAGCCCGCGACAAGGCAAAGAAUGCCCAUCCAGACUGGUAGGGAGCAAAGGUGGGCACAAAGGUGGACGUUGGCUCUAAUCUCAGUAGUGCGCUCAUCAGUAAGAGCAGCAUGAGCAAGAGAUUUUGGAUAUACUUCUCUUGGGAAACAAGGAACAAUCUCAAGGAAGUAGCGAAGAGGACCAAGAUUCAGGAGUGACCUUAUCACUAAGAGCAGCACAAGCAAGAUCCUAAAUGUACUUCUCUUGGGAAAUAAAGAAGCCAUCAGAGGUAGAAGAAACCUUAGUUCCAAGUAGUGAAAGGGACCAAGAUCAGACAUUAAAUCUAUUCACUAAGACGAGCCUUCAAAAAGGCAAUGCACUCAAAGUUGUUGGUAGUGAUGAUCAUGUCAUUGACAUAUAGGAGCAAAGCUCGACCACAAGCUUAAAGAUGGAUAUAAAGUGCAGAAUGAUGAGCAUUUGGCAAAAACUAGUUGCAGUCAUCGCUGAGACAAAAAACCUCAAACCGUGCACGAGGGCUAAAGGCAUAGAGAGAGUGACAAAUACGGCAUAUCAUGCCAUCAGGGGAAAAUAUCUAUGUGGUGGCUACAUGUAGACCUUCUCAUGCAACUCACCAUUAAGAAAGACAUUCUUGACAUCAAGCUAAGAGACAGACCAGUGGCGAGCAAAUAUCACAAUGAAAUGUGUGCGAAGAGUGGUCAUGUGGGCCAUAUGAGAAAAUGUCUUGUCGUAGUCAUAGCUAUGUUCCUAUUGAAAUCCACAAGUCACAAGACGAACUUUGUAAGGCAAGGGAACCGUCAGAGUCUAAAUCUUGUAGACCCACUUACAGUAUACAAGUGAUGGGUUGAGCAUGAGGAGGAAGGGAAAUGAGAUCCCACGUGCCUGUGCGUUCAAGAGCAGCAAUCUCCUCUGCCAUCGCAUGUCGCCGUUUGGGUGAACAUGGUAUCACAGUAAGUUGUAUUGAGAAGAGCAGUGCCAGAACACCCAUAGUGAUCAAUAGGUGGAAGCGGGCAGGCGUAGAAGCUAGGUUGAGCUGGAGGUAGUGUGUUUCCAACAGAAGGAGACAUAGUGGAGGGAGGUGGCUCAUCGAAAGAUGGUGCAUCAGAAGAAUCCACAAGAUGCGGACGACUAGUGUAGUAAAGAAGAGUGUGCGGGAGAAUCAUUGGGGAAGUCUUAGGGGACGAAUGUGGUGGGGAAGCCGCAUGUGAUGAUGACGUGGGGUCUACAACAGUAGUACAGGGAGACACACUGGAAUGGAUGUAGGAGGGCAAAACAUGAGUGAUAGGUGUAUCAAAAAACGUUAGGAAAGAAAUAUCCUCAAUGGGAGAGGCUGAAGGAGAGGAUGGACGUGGAUAGAAAGGACGAGACUCGUCAAAAGUCACACCCUGAGGAAUGCACAUUCGCCGAUCGAUAGGAUCCCAACACAUGAAGCGCUCAGUAGCCAUGAGAACGACCAAGCAGACACUCGAGAGGAAUGUCACCUUGCAAAGCAAGGAAGGCUGACUGUUGACGAGGUAGGUGGAAGUGUAAACAACCUCAACCCAAAAGUGAGGUGAAAGAGAGGUGUUGAUCUUCAAUGCACAAGCCGCCUCAAGAAGUUGACGAUGCUUACGAUCAGCAAACCAUUUUGAGCAUUUGGACCACGACAUGAGAACUGAGAAAGUGUGCCCUACUCAGCAAUGAAUCCGCACAUGGAAGACACAAUUAGACUCUGCACAUGAUAGAUGAACUUGCAAGCAAAAUCUUCAUGGAAGACACAAUUAGGAGUGGGAAACCUGGCAUGAAGCAUGGGGGCAAACUUCUUACUGAUAGAUAAGACCUUACUACAAGAAAAGCAUAUAAUAUAUCCAUGUGUGUCGAGAGAAAACAUCUAUAAAGAUAAUAUAGUGGCGAUGGCCUCUUUUUGAGGCAAAGGGAGCUCAACCACAAACAUCAAAAUGAACAAGAUAGAAAGGACGAGACACAGUCUCGCUAUGAAGAUAAAGUAAUUAAACCUGUUUGCCAAGCCGACAACCUGACAGUGACAGAUCCAAGAAGACCACUUCGAACUAAGGAUGAGAAACAAGAACCACACAAGUGACAAAGACGAUGAUGCCACAAAGAGGCAGUAAACGAAGUAACCGAGGCGGAGAGACUGGCGACGGUGGCAGCAAAGGGAAUGUUAAACCAGUCAAGCUCCUAGAGGACCUGGGUGUUACAACGACGAUGGCCAACACUAAGUAAAGCAUCUAUUUGAGGAUCCUAAUAAGAACAAGAGUUAAACUAAAGAAUGACUGUACAACCAAAGUCGACAAUCUGACCACCUAAAAUGAGCUGCAUGGGCCAAGGAAUAUGAGCAAAAGAAUAACAUGAAAAGACGAAGUAGUAAGAGUGCCUCGACUGUCGACUUGGAGGGAAGUUCCAUCAUCAGUAAGAACAUGAACAUGAGUAUCUGAAGGUCGAAUAGCUGACAAACUUGAAGAAUCAUAAACUAUUUGAAAAUACGUCCAGUACCAAGGAUUCAUAGAGGUGUACUUGGUUGUGUAAAAGUGGUCACUCGAUACUAGAAAAAUCAGUAGCAAAACCUAUUGAGGUAGAACCCAACGAAUUAGCUAGUAGACAUGGAAGUUGCCUAAUCUCCAGUGUAUUCAUUGUCCAAACCGAAGAGGUUGCCGAAGAAGUAUUGUGCGAUGAAACUAGAAGUAGCAAGUAGGUGUUCUGUUAAAGUUCAAACACCCAAAAGUAUUUCUCGUUCUUCUUUGUUUAGUUUAAUUUGGUUUUUGAUUGCUUUCUUUUGUGUUCCUUUGGGUUUUUUUUGCUUCCUAUUGUUUGUUUGUUGUUUCCUUUUAAAAGAAACCCUCCUUUCGUUCUUUUGGUGUUUUGAAGUUCUUUCAGAAAACAAUAGAAAUAUUUCUUUGGAAGUUUAUUUGAUUGCCUCUUCGUUAAAACUUUGGAAAUCUUUCAUCUUUGCGUUCUUUUUUGCCUUUGAGAAAAACCAAAUGUUCUAAAUUAUUUCUGUUGUGUUUCUCUGAGUUCUUUGCAUUUCAUGUUUCAGGAAAUUCAAAAAUAUUUCUCUUUCGUUGUUCUUUUGUUUUCUUUUGGUUGUUCUUUUUGACUUUUCUUUGUUGUUUUCUUUUUGUUGUUUCUUUCGUCUUUGUGUUUAAAUUGCAAAACCCAAAAUUUCCAAAAAGAUUUUUCGUUUGCAUCUUAUUGAGUCCCAAGUGUUUGUAAUAUUUUUUUACUUCCUAUUGUUUCUUUUGUUUGUGUGUUGUUUGCUUUUGAAAGAAACCCUAAAAGAUAUUUCUUCAUUCUUUUUUGCUUUUUCUUUGGAAGUUUAUUUGAUUUCGUCUUUGCUGAAACUUCGGAAAUCUUUCAUAUGUGCUUCUUUUUGCGUUCUUGUUUGCCUUCUUUGAGAAAAGAAAAAUAAUCCAAAAAUAUUUCUAAAGUGUUUCUUUGAGUUCUUUUUUGCCCUUUAUGUUUCAGAAAAUCCAAAAAUAUUUCUCUUUUGUUGUUCUUCUGUUUGCCAUUGAUUUUCUUUUGGUUUUUUUGGCUUUUCUCUGCUGUUUUCUUUUUGUCGUUUCUUUCGUCUUUGUGUUUAAGUUGCAAAACCCAAACAUUCCAAAAAGAUUUCUCGUUUGCGUCUUAUUGAGUCUUAAUUGUUUUCCUUUGGUUAGUCUUUUUGGCUUUUCUUUGCUGUUUUCUUUUUUUCAUUUCUUUAAUCUAUGUGUUUAAGUUGUAAAACCCAAACAUUCUAGAAAGAUUCUUGUUUGCUUCUUAUUGAUUCUUAGUUAAUGUUUUUUUUUGCUUCCUAUUUUUUCUUUUGUUUGUUUGUUGUUGCUUUUAAAAGAAACCCAAAAUCAUUUCUUUAUCUUAUUAUUCUUUUGAUGUUAUUUGAGGAAAGCACAAAAUAUUUUCUCGUUCUUUUUGCUUUUUCUUUGGAUGUUUAUUUGAUUGCCUCUUUGUUGAAACUUUGAAAAUCCUUUAUCUCUGCUUCUCUUUGCCUUCUUUGAGAAAAACCAAAAAUUCCAAAAUCAUUUCUGUAUGUUUCUCUUAGUUCUUCUUUGCCUUUUAUUUUUUAGAAAAUCCAAAAAAUUUCUCUUUCGUUUCUCUUUUGUUUUUUCUUUGUUUUCUUUUGAUUGUUCUUCUUGGCGUUUUUUUGUGUUUUCUUUUUGCUGUUUCUUUCGUCUUUGUGUUUAAGUUGCAUACGUUAAAAAAAGUUGCAAACCCAAAAAUUCCAUAAAGAUUUCUCGUUUGAGUCUUAAGUGUCUGUAGUGUUUUUUUGCUUCCUAUUGUUUCUUCCUUUUUUGUUCUUUGCUUUUAAAAGAAACCCCAAAAGAUUUCUUUGUCCUUUUGUAGUUUUGUUCUUUUGAAGUUCUUUGAGAAAAUAAUAAUAUAUUUCUUUGUUCUUUUUGCUUUUCCUUUGGAUGUUUAUUUGAUUUCCUCUUUGUUGAAACUUUGGAAAUCUUUUAUCUUUGCUUCUCUUUGCAUUCUUUUUGCCUUAUUUGAGAAAAAAAUACCAAAAUUAUUUCUGUUGUGUUUCUCUAAGUUCUUUGCCUUUUAUGUUCCAGAAAAUGCAAAAAUAUUUCUCUUUCGUUGUUCUUUUGUUUUCCUUUGUUUUUUUCCUUUUUCUGUUGUUUCCUUUUUGUCGUUUGUUUUGUCUUUGCGUUUAUUUAAGUUGCAAAAAUUCCAAAAAGAUUUCUCGUCUUAAGUGUUGAGGGUGAACGAAUUUCUGAUUGGCUCGUAUGUGCUUUAUUGUUGAACUAAUGAAAAGACUAAAAAUAUUUCCCUUGUCUACUCUUUUGUACAAAUUGUUAGUAGUAAAACCUGCAAAACCUAUCGAUGGAGAACCAAAAGAAGCAGCUAGCAGACACUGAAGUCGCGUAAUCUCAAGUGUAGUGAGGGGCUCAACUGAAGAGGUUGACGAAGAAGCACAAGGCUAUGAAUAAAAACUAAAAGAAGUAGGUGUCGAAGUCGUGUAAUCUCUGUUCCUCCUCGAUCCGGUUUGGCGUCCUUCCCCUGGUUGCAGGUUUUGUGGCACGAACUUGAUGUUGCUUCCCAUGUUCCCUUUGGUGGCCCUUGGCCCCGGUGGCAGGUAGCGUCGUGCACACAUCCUGUGGGUUAGACUAAUGUUGAGUAAAUCGUUAACUGGUAACUGCUCGCUGAGCUUGGGAUUAGUGAUUAAUCGUUGAAUCGGUUUAUUAACUGGAUUAAUUGGUCAACCACUAGAAGCAAAUUUUGUAUGGAGGAAAAAUCUACAUUGCAAAUAGGAGGCAAAUGGCACCAUUUUCUUUUCUCAAAUGAUCACAAAUCUUUAUACAAUAACAAUCAUCCAUGUGGGCAUCAAAAGUCAUCUAUGUAUACAACCACAUUUUUUUGCUAAUUUCUGCCUGUGUCGCAACUUUGAGAGAUGGUGGCCACACGAUGGCGACAGAUAGAGGGAAGGUGACGGCCUCCGCGCUGGGCAUCUGAACGGGUCGGUUGCCGGAGGUGGUAGGUCAUGAACGAGGGGAAGUAGCGGCGUGUAGAGGGAGAAGAGGAAGCGGCGACACACAGGGGAGGAGGGAAGUGGCAGCACACCGACGAGGACCUGGUCAGUCGUCAUCUAAGUCGGGAGGGGAUGAGAGGAGCAGGAGGGGUUCUAAACCCUAGCUAUUUAGGAGCGGGAGGGUUUAUGGGCCAAAUAAUUAGGCUUUGUUUGCCCACAAGUUAACAGGCCAACAGCGAUUAAUCAGCUUGACAACAGAUUAGUCGGUCUAAUCGACCAUUUAAUCGGCCUGGCAAGUUAACGCGAUGAAUAUGUGUUAUUCGAGUCGGCCACCCGAUGAGUAGCGAUUAACUGAUUAAUCGGGUGAAUUCUUGGGCAGUUGGUUAGACAUUGCGGUGCCGACUGCCCCUGCUCUUGCUUCGUCGAUAGAUGGUGCUUGAGCAUUCGGCUAUGGCGCCCACCAGGGGAAGACGAGUUGUGGGAUUGAUACAGCGACAGAGCAACUCGUAGCCAGACAAAAGAUGCUCAACCGGACUGACAGGGAGCGGAGCGUGCACGAGGGGUGUGGUGGAGGGGUGAAAAAGCCGUCGAGAGCGGACCGCCACCGCCAUUUAGCUUUUGGACCUGGAGUUGAGCGGUGAGGGGAUGGCGACAGGGGAAGCGAGGAAGGCCGGAAGAGGGCACCGAGAGGAGAAAGGCAUCAUCCACCCUACACUUGUGCGUUAGCCGCGACUGCGGGCGGUUGUGGGCAGAUCCGGUGUCUGCAUGUGGAUCUGCUACUUGGGAUGAGAUGACAUGCUUGUUGAGUGAGGUGUCACAACUAUUGGGCCGUGUGGGUGGGUUUGGAGAGUCUGUGUUGUGCUUCGGUUAAGCCUUCAUGAAGAAACGGACCAAGUGUAAAUCAAAAGGCACAUAUUGAAGAGUAAUAAUAUGAUCCUGCACUCUGGAGUGCAUGAAUGCACGAACGAGGCAUGAACAUUAAUAUGCUUGGUGAGCUCAUGCUUCAUAUAGUGAGGUGCAAUCCUGAUAACAUAUACUGUAUGGUGUGACAAGAGAAGAGUAAUGUAGUGAUAGAAACACCAAAAUCCUCAAGGUCGUUAAUGAACUACACUGGGUUUGGAGAGAGAAGGAAGCCGUGUGAUGUGCUCUGUCUGAGUCUUUGUGAAGAAAUGGACCAAGUGUAAAUCGAAAGGCACAUACUAAAGUGUAGUCUGUUUCUUCGUCUUCCGGGCAGUGAGAAAACCAUCAAGAAAACACAGUAAGUAGAAAGGGACGAGCGAACUUGAGCAUAGGAUUAAGAGAGAGACGGGGAGAGGUAGUUCCACAAAGAUUUCGUAGAACAGGGGGGAGGUGACUUAAGUGGAUGAAAGUGGGAGCAGAGACAAACUGACUUAGAACAAGAAUGUGAUAUGAAAUGUCUGGACGAGUGACAUCUAAAUAGACAAGACUCCCGACAAGAUGACGACAACGCAUCAGAUACAACAAAGGCUCAUUGUCGGAAGCACAAAGGUGGACGUUGAGCUCCAUGGGAGUGUCAACAGUGACCUUAUCACUAAGCGCAUCACAAGUAAGAAGAUACUGAAUGUACUUCUCUUUGGGAAACAAAGAAGCCAUCAGAGGCAGAAGAAACCUCAAUUCCAAGGAAGUAGCGAAGAGGACCAAUAUCAAACAUAAAACUAUUCACUAAGACGAGCCUUCAAAAAGGCAAAUGCACUUAGAGUUGUUGGCAGUGAUGGUCAUGUCAUCGACAUAUAGAAGCAAUGUUCGACCUUGAGCUGAAAGAUGGAUGUACAGUGUAGAUCAUGAGCAUUUGGCAAAAACUAGUUGCAGUCAUUGCUGAAACAGAACACUCAAAUCGGACGAUACAGGCUAAAGGCAUAGAGAUAGCGACGAAGACGCCAGAUCGUGCCAUCAGGAAAAAGAUAUCUAGGUGGUGGCUACAUGUAGACCCUCUCAUGCAACUCACGAUUAAGAAAGACAUUCUUGACAUCAAGCUGAGAGACAGAUCAGUGGCGAACAAAUAUCACAGCGAGAAGUGUGAGAAGAGUGGUCAUGUGGGCCAUAUGAGAAAAUGUUUCAUCUUAGUCAUAGCCAUGAUCCUGUUGAAAGCCACGGGUCACAAGAUGAGCUUUGUUACGCAAGAGAACCAUUAGAGUCUAAAUCUUGUAAACCCACUUACAAGACACAAGUGAUGGGAUGAGCAUAGGGAAGAAGGGAAAUGAGAUCCCACGUGUCGGUGCGUUCAAGAGCAGCAAUCUCCUCUGCCAUCGCAUGUCGCUGUUCGGGAUGAGCAUGGCGUAUGCUGAAGCGGGCGAGCGUAGAAGCCAUAAGUAGGUUGAGCUAGAGGCGGUGCAUUGCCAACAGAAGGAGAUAUAAUAGUCGUGGGAGAUGGCUCAUCGAAAGAUGACACAUUAGAAGAAUCCGCAAGAUGCGGACGACUAGUGCAGUAAAGAAGAGGAUUGGGUGGAAUCAUCGGAGAAGUAUUAGGGAAUGAAUGAGGUGGGGAAGCCGCAGGUGAUGAUGACGUGGGGUCUACGACAGUAGUACAAGAAGACACAUUGGAAUGGAAGAGGGCAAUACGUGAGUGAUAGGACGCGUCAACACCAUUAUGGUUGGUGAGUUCAUGCUUUUCAUGGUUGUGCGCAAUAUUGGUAGCAUUUGUACUGUCUGGCAGAUGGACCCCUGAGAUCAUAUUGAACAAGGUCGGAAGGACGACGAGACACUGUCUCGCUAUGAGUAUAAGGUAAUUGGACCGUGGAUUAGAGAGAUCAUCGGAGACGGAUCCAAGAAGACCAAGUCGAACUAAGGAUGAGAGAUAACAAGUGAUCCAAGGGGAUGAUGCCAAUCCUGAAAAUAACUGGUAGACAAGGCAACAGAGGUAGAGACUGGCGAUGGUGGCAGCAGAGGGACUUGAUCCAGCAUCCCGUGUGCCUAUGCACUCUUCGUACCCCACCGAUCCGGCUUGGCGUUCUUGUCCUGUGUGCGGGUUCUGGGUCACGCACUUGAUUAAGCACCCCAGGUUCUCCUACUGCGCCCUUGGCCUUGACUUUAGGUAGCGCCUGUCCUCGGCUCGUCUCGUGCAUAAACCAGGUACGCGUCGACUGUCCGAGCUCCUGCUCACCAUUGGUGGUGCUCGAGCGUGCGGUUAUGGUGUCGCACAUAAAGGGAACACGGGAUGUGGGAUUGCGACAGUACUCAUAGCAGCCUGCAGCAAGGCAAAGAAUGCCCAUCCAAACUGGUAGGGAGCAAAGGUGGGCACAAAGGUGGACGUUGGCUCUAGUCUCAGACUCUCAGUAGUGCGCUCAUCAAUAAGAGCAGCAUGAGCAAGAUCCUAAAUGUACUUCUCUUGGGAAAUAAAGAAGCCAUCAGAGGUAGAAGAAACCUCAGUUCCAAGUAGUGAAAGGGACAAAGAUCAGACAAUAAAUCUAUUCACUAAGACGGGCCUUCAAAAAGACAAUGCACUCAAAGUUGUUGGUAGUGAUGAUCAUGUCAUCGACAUAUAGGAGCAAAGCUUGACCACGAGCUUAAAGAUGGAUAUAAAGUGCAGAAUGAUGAGCAUUUGGCAAAAACUAGUUGCAGCCAUCGCUGAGACAAAAAAUCUCAGACCAUGCACGAGGGCUAAAGGCGUAGAGAGAGAAUUGACGUGGAUAGAAAGGACGAGGCUCAUCAAGAGCAGCACGAGCAAGAAGAUACUAAAUGAAUUCCCUUAGGAAAUAAAGAAGCCAUCAGAGGUAGAAUAAACCUCAAUUCCAAGGAAGUAACAAAGAGGACCAAUAGACAUAAAAACUAUUCACUAAGACGAACCUUCAAAAAAGGCAAUGCACUCAGAGUUGUUGGCAGUGAUGAUUAUGUCGUCAACAUAUAGAAGCAAAGUUUGACCCUGAGCUGAAAGAUGCUAUAAAGUGCAGAUCAUAAGCAUUUGGCAAAAACGAGUUGCAGUCAUCGCUGAGACAAACACUCAAACCAGACACGAGAGGCUAAAGGCAUAGAGAGAGCGACAAAGACGGCAGAUCGUGCCAUCAGGAAAAAAUAUCUAGGUGGUGGCUACAUGUAUACCUUCUCAUGCAACUCACCAUUAAGAAAGACAUUCUUGACAUCAAGCUGAGAGACAGACUAGUGGCGAACAAAUAUCACAGGAGAAGUGUGCGAAGAGUGGUUAUGUGAGCAACAUGAGCAAAUGUCUCAUCGUAGUCAUAGCCAUCUUCAUGUUGAAAGCCAUGGGUCACAAGACAAGCUUUCUAACGCAAGAGAACCAUUAGAGUCUAAAUCUUGUAGACCUACUUACAAUAUACAAGUGAUGGGAUGAGCAUGGGAGGAAGGAAAAUGAGAUCCCACGUGUCGGUGCGUUCAAUAGCAGCAAUCUCCUCUGCCAUCACAUGUCGAUGUUCGGAAUGAACAUGGCGUCACGGUAAGUGGUAUUGAGAAGAGCAAUGCUAGAAUACCCAUGGCGAUCAAUAAGCGGAAGCGGGCGAGCGUAGAAGCCAUAAGUAGGUUGAGCUGGAGGAGGUGCGUUGUCAACAGAAGGAGACAUAUUAGUCGAGGGAGAUAGCUCAUCGAAAGAUGACGCAUCAGAAGAAUUCACAAGAUGUGGACGACUGGUUUAGUAAAGAAGAGGAUGAGGAUGAAUCACCUGGGAAGCCUUAGGGGACGAAUGAGGUUGGGAAGCUGCAGGUGACGAUGACGUGGGGUCUACAACAGUCGUACAGGAAGACACAUUGGAAUGGAUGGAUAAGGGCAAUACAUGAGUAAUAGGUGUAUCGGCAAAAGCCAGGAAAGAAAUAUCCUCAAUGAGAGAGGCCGAAGGAGAGAAUUGACAUGGAUAGAAAGGACGAGGCUCAUCAAAAGUCGCACCCCGAGAAAUGCUUAUCCGCCGAUCGAUACGAUCCCAACACUGAUAGCCCUUGUGCUCAUCAGCGUAACCUAAGAGGAAACGUUCAAUAUACUAAGCAACCAGUUUGAGGGGCAAGAAGAAGGUAUUAAACGCAACAAAACAAACGAAGCGUUGUGUAGCCAUGCAUGAGAACGACCAAAAAGACACUCGAGAGGAAUAUCACCCUGCAAAGGAAGGUUGACUGUUGAUCAGGUUGGUGGAUGUAGAAACAACCUCAACCCAAAAGUGACCUAAGAAGACACAUUCAAUAUACUAAGCAGUCAGUUUGAGGGGCAAGAAGAACGUAUUAAACGCAACAAAACAAACGAAGCACCGAGUAGCCAUGAGAACGACCAAAAAGACACUCGAGAGGAAUAUCACCCUGCAAAGCAAGGAAGGAUGACUGUUGAUCAGGUAGGUGGAUGCAGAAACAACCUCAACCCAAAAGUGAGGUGGAAGAGAUGCGUUGAUCUUCAAUGCACAAGCUGCCUCAAGAAGGUGACGAUGCUUAGCAAACAAUUUUGAGCAUCAGGACCAUGACAAGAGAACUGAGAAAGUGCGUCCUGCUCAGCAAGGAAUCCGCGCAAUAAAUGAUUGAUAAACUCGCAAGCAAAAUCUGCAUGGAAGACACAGGAAGGAGUGGAAAACCGGGUAUGAAGCGUGGUGGCAAACUUCUUACUGAUAGAUAAGACCUCACUAGAAGAAAAGCAUAAAAUAUAUCCAUGUGUGUUGAGAGAAAUCAUCUAUAAAGAUGAUAUAAUAGCGAUGUCCUCCUUUUGAGGCAAAGGGACCUGGACCCCAAACAUCGAAGUGAACAAGAUCAAAAGGACGACGAGACACAAUCUCGCUAUGAGGAUAAUGUAACUUAACCUGUCUGCUAAGCCAACAAACUGACAGCCUAAAGACACACCGCCAGAGACAGAUCCAAGAAGACCACGUCGAACUAAGGAUGAGAGACUAGAGCCACACAAGUGACCAAGACGAUGAUUCCAAAAGAACAGGUAAAGAAAGUAACCGAGGCAGAGAGACUGGCGGCGGUGGCAGGAAAGGGAAGGUUAAGCUAGAUAAGCACCCAGAGGACCUGGGAAUUACAACUUCGAGGGCCAACACCAAGUAGAGCAUCCGUGUAAGGAUUCUAAUCAGAACAUGAACAUGAGAAUCUGGAGGUCGAAUGGCUGACAAACUGGAAGAAGUUAUAUGAAAAUACAUCCAGUACCAAGGAUCCAUGGAGAUGUACCUGGUUGUGUAAAAAGUGGUCACUCGGUACAAGAAAAAUUAGUAGCAAAACCUGUUAAUGUUGAACCAAAAGAAGCUGCUAGUAGAUCGCCUAACCUUCGGUGUAGUCAGGUUCUCAACUGAAGAGGUUGACAAAGAAGUACUGGGCAAUGAAACUAGAAGUAGGAAGUAAAUGUUUUGUUAAAGAUCGAAAACCCAAAUGUAUUUCUCAUUCUUCUUGUUUGGCUUCAUUUGGUUUUUGAUCUCUUUCUUUUGUGUUCUUUAUGGUUCAUUUCCUUCUUAUUGUUUCUUUUGUUUAUUUGUUUGCUUUUACAAGAAAACACAAAAUAUUUCUUUCUCCCUUUUUUCUUUUGAAGUUCUUUGAGAAAACAAAAAAAAUAUUUCUUCGUUCUUUUUGCUUUUUCUUUGGAAGUUUAUCUGAUUGCCUCUUUGUUGAAACUUUCGAAAUCUUGUAUCUUUGCUUGUCACUUUGCAUUAUUGUUUGCCUUCUUUGAGAAAACCAAAAAUUCCAAAAAUACUUCAGUGGUGUUUCUCUUAGUUCUUUGCCUUUUAUAUUUCAAAAAAUCCAAAAAUAUUUCUCUUCCAUUUUUCUUUUGUUUUACUUCGUUUGCUUUUGAUUGUUCUUAUUGGCUUUUCUUGCUGUUUCUUUUUGUUGUUUCUUUCGUCUUUGUGUUUAAGUUGCAAAACCCAAAAAAUCCAAAAAGAUUUCUUGUUUGCAUCUUAUUGAGUCUCGAGUGUUCAAAGUGUUCUUUUUUUCUUUUUUCUUCCUAAUUUUUCUUUUGUAUGUUUCUUUGUUGUUUUCUAGAAACCCCAAAAGAUUUCAUUGUGCUUUUGUUCUUUUGAUGUUCUUUGAGAAAACAACAAAGAUAUUUCCUUGUUUGUUUUGCUUUUUCUUUCGAAGUGUAUUUUAUUGCCUCUUUGUUGGAACUUUGAAAAUAUUUUACUUUGCUUGUCUUUACAUUUUUCGUUGCCUUCUUCGAGGAAAAAAAUUCCAAAAAUAUUUUUGUUGUGUUUCUUUAAGUUCUUUGCCUUUUAUCUUUUCGAAAAUCCAAAAAGAUUUCUCUUUCGUUGUUCGUUUGUUUUCCUUGUUUUUUUGUUGUUCUUUUUGGCUUUUCUUUGCUGUUUUCUUUUCAUCGUUUCUUUUGUCUUUGUGUUUAAGUUGCAAAGCCCAAAAAUUCCAAAAACAUUUCUCUUUUGCCCUUAUUGAUUGUCAACUAUUUGAGGUAUUCUUUUGUUUUUUUCUUCCUAUUUUUUUUGGAUGUUUGUUUGUUGUUCGCGGAGGGCGAGGUGACGCAGAAUCGGAGGGUGGACAGCGGCGAAGCACAAAUCUUCUCGGCAAAGGAGGCGGCGGCCGAAAGAAUGGAGAGCUCGCCUCCGACGUCGGAGCUAUCAACGGGGAAGAUGAAUCCCCAAGCGCUGGGUUGUAACAAGAGGCUUAGGAUUGGUGCUGCCGCACCGAGCAGAACACCGCACCCAAGUUGAAUCAGCGCACGAUCGAGAAGGCUGUCAGGUGUUGCAGAGAGAACCCAACUGAAAACGUGAUCACGCCGGUCCUUGGUACUACUUUCGACUUUUUGGGCGAAGCAUACGACUUGUGUGUACAUGUAGGUGAAUAUCAUCCGGAAAGCAUGGUGAAGCAGUCUAUGCUGCAUGCUCGUCAGUGACCCUGUCAACAGGAAAGGGAGAGAGUAGAAGUUGAGCGAACCCAUGGAUUGAAUGAGGUUUCAGUGGCGUCGAAUCGCACCAUGAUCAGAUACAUGCUGUGAAAUCAUAUUUUGCGUGGGGGCGCCAACAAGCCUGCCGACAGCGAUGUCACUUCCAGAGUUCUAGUGGUUGUAGCAGCCAAGAAGGAACUGCCUAUUGCCGGCGGGGCUCAAGCGGUGUCACUUUCAGUGGCUAUAGCAGCCAAAAAAACCAAAACCCCUCUAUAUUCUGAUGGCAAAUCUAUGUAUGAAUUGCACGUGGCAUCACAUAAAUUACCAUUCGAGAUAAGUUCCAGUCUGCAGAUUUCGGGGGACAGUAUGGCUGGAAUACGCUUGGUAACAGGGAGCAUUACCACUGCUGUGUACAAGACCCCUAAGUAAGACCAAAUCAAAUUUAAGGAGGGAUGGAAGGAGUUUAUUAUGGGGAAGGACCUAAGGUUUGGCAAUGCUAUACUAAUCACUUUCAGAUGCAGCGCAUUUGAGGAGUUCAUAAGGAUAAUGAUCAUCAACAAGAUUUAAGAGUUGCUUGAGUUCAGUCAGGAGGAUGAGGAUGUGAUUUUCGGAAGUAUAAUUCGUUCGCGGCACAACAGUUUUUAAUUUGUUAUUGUUGUCAGUGGAACAAUGAAUUAUCAGUGUGUCCGUAUGUAUAUGUUUGCUAAGCUACUGGAACCUUUGUAUGAACCAUCUGUUUUCAGUAUAUUUUUCUUCAAUCUGCUUUCAUGUAUGUAUUGUCAAUCAAUGGACAAGCUAUGCUCAAUAACAUCAGUCUUUUCUCAAUCAUCAUCAGUCAUUGAUUCUAAUCUUUCUUUCAGCCGAUCGGCAGAUGGUCAACACGAUAAUGGGCCCAAAAAAAAGAACCCAAGUGAAAGUCAGACGUCUGUUUGUUAGACACUCCCUAAAAAUAUGAGGGGUUAAAAAUAACUAGAAGUAGUGUGAGCCAUGAAAAACCAACGACUACCUUGUGGAGUGAGAGAACGUUCAGAGAUAACAAUGACUACACACUGAUAUUUUUAAGAUACGGCUGAAGCUGUGGCUGGGGACGUCCAUGAGCUGGUUGGAUCUCUGCUCGGCUGCCGCCGUCCGCGAAAUUGUGAUCGCGCCUGUAUCUCUGGUGAAGGGAAGCGGAUGGGUGCACGGCUAGAGGCUGGUGCAGCACGUACGGCUGGGGCUGGGACAAGUCGUGGCGAGUGAGCUCCGGCAGAAGCGUGGUCCGCCUUGGGAGAUGAAGGUUGGGCAAGGAAUCAGCGGGAGUACCUCGUCCGGCUGGGAUGAAGAAGAUGAGGUAGUCAUCGUUCCCGAAUCCCGAUCUGCUUCCUGCCGACGAGGUUGAGGAAGAUAAUGAGAGGGGGGCAGAGGGGAACGAAUCUUCCGGUGGAUUAGCUGGCGUCUGAUCCGUAGCCCAGGACGGGUCGGCCCGUCUGAGCCUCCUCGCGGCCUCGCGGGGGAUGACGGCCGUUGCAUUAAAAAAGGGGUAGUGCGAGUAUACGGCUGCAAGUUAAGACAUUAAGCUAUAGCUUAUUUUCCUUUUAUUAUUUUCUCUGUAAAACUAUGUCAUUUCAGUUUGGGAAACUAGAACUCUUAGUGACGGCAGAAGCUAAGAGUUUAAUGGUGAAAAAGGCAGACACUAUCUACCUGCUUGUAAUAUUGCCAUAUAGUAGCACUUUUUACACAUCAUAUUUUCUUCAA